UCUGUUUUCUUUGCCCACACCUCUUUCCCCACUCAAUCGCUCCAGCAGCCAUCUUCUCUUUGUACCCCUUCCCAAAGAAAAUAAUGUGAAUGAUUCCAGUAACUUGUAUAUCAAUCAAUAAUGUUCUGGUGUCAUAGGAGAAUAAGACAUGUUGACAACAGGAACCACCUCAGCUUCUCCACCUGGAUUUGUCACUAUAGUGGUGUGGGAGGAAAUUCCUGUUGAAUAACUGAGGAGACACUGUAAGCAAAAGUACCACAGCUCAGGUCCAGAAGCAAAAAAACAGAAGAUGGUUGUGUCUCUACAUUGCCCAGGAACCCUGCCCAAUGUCAUCGUUGACAAGCCAAGUCAUGGAUUUACAUAGCUGGCUGCCUAUAUCUGUUGUCCUGUCAUUUCUCAAAAAUGUUGGAUUUAGUUUUUCAGGAGUGAAAUUUACUGGAACUUUGCUUGGUCUUCUAACACCUAGAAACAAAGCUGUUAAUUAGCUAUGCACUUGCAGUACCUGUCUUUCACUUUUGGGUGUAACUGAGGUCAAGAUGUGACUCAUGAGCUGUAGGUGCAGAGCUUUUGGUUAUGCUUUGGGCAGUGGGAAAGCAAAAUGAUUCUUCCUUCAAUUUAGCAUUCUCUCUAUUGGCCACUCUGAUUUUCUAAGUUUGAUUUAACAGCUCUCCUACAUUUUAGCUGUUAAUCAGAAUAUAUUACGAAAAGGAAGAGAAACAAAACCUGCCCAAAUAGCUUUCAGGUGAAUCUAACUGCUUUUCUAAAUAGCUCUGCCCUUGACUAUUUUGUUAAAAAUUUGAAGCAAGGGUUCUGGGAAAGAGAAUGGUCUUUAAAUUAUUGCUUCCUUUUUAAAGCUAGCCCCAUGAUACACACAUCAAUUUUUUAUGAGAGCAGUUCCUUUGAAAAUUAUCUUCUUGUGUUUUCUUUCUUUCCAAAUUUAUUCUAACUGAGAAUAAACUGAU